GAUGAACGCUGGCGGCGUGCCUAACACAUGCAAGUCGAACGGAGUCCAGCCUUUAAGACCUUCGGGUCAAAGAGCGGAAGACUGAGUGACGGACGGGUGACUUACCCGUGAGCAACCUAGCUCAUCGAGGAGGUUAACAGAGAGCAAUUUAUGCUAUUACCGCACAAGCACACACUGCCGCAUGGCCGAGGGUGAAACGAGAAUCGCUAUGGGAUCGACGCGUGUCUGAUUGGCCAGGUGGCAGGGUAAGAGCCUGCCAUAGCGACGAUGAGUAGCUGAUAUGAGAGGAUGAACGACCAGAAUGGAACUGAGACACGGCCCAAACCCGUAGGGGGGGGAGCAGUAGGGGAUAUUGCAGGAGGAGGGGAACCGUGAUAAAGCGACGCCGCGUGAGUGAAGAAGUAUGUCGGUAUGUAAAGCUCUAUCAGCAGGGAAGAUAAUGACAGUAACUGAAGAAGAAGCCCCGGCUAACUACGUG
rnacentral:rRNA from 1 species